rnacentral:rRNA from 1 species
CAAUAGCGUAUAUUAAAGUUGUUGCAGUUAAAAAGCUCGUAGUUGGAUCUGUGGUGUGCGGUGGGCUCCGGGCACUUGUUGUCUGAGUAGCUCGCCGCUGCCAUCCUUGGGUGGAACCUGUGUGGCAUUAGGUUGUCGUGCAGGGGAUGCCCAUCGUUUACUGUGAAAAAAUUAGAGUGUUCAAAGCAGGCUUAUGCCGUUGAAUAUAUUAGCAUGGAAUAAUGAGAUAGGACUUUUUCGCUAUUUUGUUGGUUUGCGCGAAGAGGUAAUGAUUAAUAGGGACAGUUGGGGGUAUUCGUAUUCCAUUGUCAGAGGUGAAAUUCUUGGAUUUUUGGAAGACGAACUACUGCGAAAGCAUCUACCAAGGAUGUUUUCAUUAA